UACGUAGGGUGCAAGCGUUGUCCGGAAUUAUUGGGCGUAAAGAGCUCGUAGGCGGUCUGUCGCGUCGGAUGUGAAAAUCCAGGGCUCAACCCUGGACCUGCAUUCGAUACGGGCAGACUAGAGUUCGGCAGGGGAGACUGGAAUUCCUGGUGUAGCGGUGAAAUGCGCAGAUAUCAGGAGGAACACCGGUGGCGAAGGCGGGUCUCUGGGCAGUAACUGACGCUGGAGGAGCGAAAGCGUGGGGAGCGAACAGG
rnacentral:rRNA from 1 species